AGUGAACGCUGGCGGUAGGCCUAACACAUGCAAGUCGAACGGCAGCACAGUAAGAGCUUGCUCUUACGGGUGGCGAGUGGCGGACGGGUGAGGAAUACAUCGGAAUCUACUUUUUCGUGGGGGAUAACGUAGGGAAACUUACGCUAAUACCGCAUACGACCUACGGGUGAAAGCAGGGGAUCUUCGGACCUUGCGCGAUUGAAUGAGCCGAUGUCGGAUUAGCUAGUUGGCGGGGUAAAGGCCCACCAAGGCGACGAUCCGUAGCUGGUCUGAGAGGAUGAUCAGCCACACUGGAACUGAGACACGGUCCAGACUCCUACGGGAGGCAGCAGUGGGGGAUAUUGGACAAUGGGCGCAAGCCUGAUCCAGCCAUACCGCGUGGGUGAAGAAGGCCUUCGGGUUGUAAAGCCCUUUUGUUGGGAAAGAAAAGCAGCAGGUUAAUACCCCGCUGUUCUGACGGUACCCAAGGAAUAAGCACCGGCUAACUUCGUG
rnacentral:rRNA from 1 species